GAUGAACGCUGGCGGCGUGCCUAAUACAUGCAAGUCGAGCGAACGGACGAGAAGCUUGCUUCUCUGAUGUUAGCGGCGGACGGGUGAGUAACACGUGGAUAACCUACCUAUAAGACUGGGAUAACUUCGGGAAACCGGAGCUAAUACCGGAUAAUAUUUUGAACCGCAUGGUUCAAAAGUGAAAGACGGUCUUGCUGUCACUUAUAGAUGGAUCCGCGCUGCAUUAGCUAGUUGGUAAGGUAACGGCUUACCAAGGCAACGAUGCAUAGCCGACCUGAGAGGGGGAUCGGCCACACUGGAACUUAGACACGGUCCAGACUCCUACGGGAGGCAGCAGUAGGGAAUCUUCCGCAAUGGGCGAAAGCCUGACGGAGCAACGCCGCGUGAGUGAUGAAGGUCUUCGGAUCGUAAAACUCUGUUAUUAGGGAAGAACAUAUGUGUAAGUAACUGUGCACAUCUUGACGGUACCUAAUCAGAAAGCCACGGCUAACUACGUG
rnacentral:rRNA from 1 species